rnacentral:rRNA from 1 species
GGUUGCCGACUAAGCGUACACGGUGGAUGCCCCGCAGUCGAGAGGCGAUGGGCAAGUGUAAAGCAUCUGCGAUAAGCGCCGGUAAGGUGAUAUGAAACCGUUAUAACCGGCGAUCUCGAAUGGGGAAACCCAGUGUGAUUCGUCACACUAUCAUUAACUGAAUCCAGAAGUUAAUGAGGCGAACCGGGGAACUGAAACAUCUAAGUACCCCGAGGAAAGAAAUCAACCGAGAUUCCCCCAGCAGCGGCGAGCGAACGGGAGUGGUUUUCCAGAGCCUGAAUCAGCAUGUGUGUUAGUGGAAGCGUCUGGAAAGUCGCGCGAUACAGGGUGACAGCCCCGGUACACAAAAGCGCAUGUGUUGUGAGCUCGAUGAGUAGGCGGGACACGUGGCAUCCUGUUCGAAUAUGGGGACCAUCCUCCAAGGCUAAAUACCCUGACUGACCGAUAGUGAACCAGUACCGUGAGGGAAAGGCGAAAAAGAACCCCGGCGAGGGGAGUGAAAAAGAACCUGAAAUCGUGUACGUACAAGAGUGGGAGCACUUCGCGUGACUGCGUACCUUUUGUAUAAUGGGUCAGCGACUUAUAUUCUGCAGCAAGGUUAACCGAAUAGGUUUGAGUGAAACCGAGUCUUCACUGGGCGUUAAGUUGCAGGGUAUGACCCGAAACCCGGUGAUUCAGCCAUGGGCAGGUUGGAAGGUUGGGUAACACUAACUGGAGGACCGAACCGACUAAUGUUGAAAAUUAGCGGAUGACCUGUGGCUGGGGCAGAAAAUAAUCAAAACCGGGAGAUAGCUGGUUCUCCCGAAAGCUAUUUAGGUAGCGCCUCGUGAAUUCAUCUCCGGCAGAGCACUGUUUCGGCUAGGGCCAUCCCGCUUCAACAACCCGGAUGCAAACUUCGUGAAUACCGGAGAAUGUUAUCACGGGAGCAUCAUAUCGGCGGGCGCUAACGUCCGUCGAAGAGGGAAACAACCCAGACCGCCAGCUAAGGUCCCAAAGUCAUGGUUAUGGGAAACGAUGUGGAAGGCCCAGACAGCCGUGAUGUUGGCUUUCUAGAAGCAGCCAUCAUUUUAAAAGAAAGCGUAAUAGCUCACCGGUCGAGUCGGCCUGCGCGGAAGAUGUAACGGGGCUAAAUCCAUGCACCGAAGCUGCGGCAGCGACACUGUGUAGUUGUUGGCAGGGGAGCGUUCUGCGGGGCAGCCUGUGAAGGUGCGCGUCGUGAGGCAUGCUGGAGGUAAUCAGAAGUGCGAAUGCUGACAUAAGUAACGAUAAAGCGGGUGAAAAGCCCGCUCGCCGGAAGAAUCAAGCGUUCCCGUCCAACGUUAAUCGGGGCAGGGUGAGUCGACCCCUCAAGGCGCAGCCGAAAGGCGUAGUCGAUGGGAAAACGGGUUAAUAUUCCCGUACUUGGUGUUACUGCGGCUGGGGACGGAGAAGGCUAUGUUGGCCGGGCGACGGUUGUCCCGGUUUAAGCGCGCGUGUAGGUGUGUAACUCCGGUAAAUCCGGUUCACUUUAACACUGAGGCGUGACGACGAGGCACUACGGUGCUGAAGCAACAAAAUGCCCUGCUUCCAGAAAAGCCUCAAGCAUCAGGUAACAUCAAAUCGUACCCAAACCGACACAGGUGGUCAGGUAGAGAAUACCAAGUGCGCUUGAGAGAACUCGGUGAAGGAACUGAAAGUAAAAUGGUGCCGUAACUUCGGGAGAAGGCACGCUGGACACGUAGGGUGAAGGAUUUACCAUGGAGCUGAAGCCAGUCGAAGAUACCAGCUGGCUGCAACCGUUUAUUAAAACACAGCACUGUGCAAAACACGAAAGUGGACGUAUACGGUGUGACGCCGCCCGGUGCCGGAAGGUUAAUUGAUGUGGGGUCAGCGCAAGCGAAGCUCCUGUGAUCGAAGCCCUUCCCGGUAAACGGCGGCCGUAACUAUAACGGUCCCAGCAGUAGCGAAAUUCGUCGGGUAAGUUCCGACCUGGCACGAAUGGCGCAAUGAUGGCCAGCUGCUCCACCCGAGACUCAGUGAAAUUGAACUCGCUGUGAAGAUGCAGUGUACCCGCGGCAAAGACGGAAAGACCCCGUGAACCUUACUAUAGCUUCGACACUGAACAUUGAGCCUUUGAUGCUGUAGGAUAGGUGGGAGGCUUUGAAGGGUGGGACGCGUCUGCGUGUGGGAGCCGACCUGAAAUACCACCCUUUAAUGUUUGAUGUUCAACGUGAAUCCGCAAUCCGCUGCGGACAGUGUCUGGUGGGUAGGUUUGACUGGGGGCGGUCUCCUCCCUAAAGAGUAACGGAGGAGCACAGCGGGUUGGCUAAUCCCGGCCGGACAUCGAGGUUAGGUGCAAUGGCAUAAGCCAGCUUGACUGCGAGCGCGUGACGGUGCGAGCAGGUGAAAGCAGGUCAUAGUGAUCCGGUGGUUCUGGAAUGGAAGGGCCAUCGCUCAACGGAUAAAAGGUACCCGGGAUAACAGGCUGAUACCGCCCAAGAGUUCAUAUCGACGGCGGUGUUUCUGGCACCCGAUGUCGGCCUGCUAUCACAUCCUCGGGCUGGAAGUAGGGUCCCAGGUAUGGCUGUUCGCCAUUUAAAAGUGGUACGCGAGAGCUGGGCUUAGAACGUCGUGAGACAAAGUUCGGUCCCCUAAUAUCUGCCGUGUGGGCGCUGGAGAACUGAGGGGCUGCUCCUAGUACGAGAGUGACCGACGCAUCACUGGUACCCGUUGUCGCGCCAAUGCACCGCCCGGCAGCUAAAUGCGGAAGAGAUAAGUGCUGAAAGCACAAGUUAACGAAACUUGCCCCCUGAGAUAUUCCUGGAGACUUAGAGUCUCCUGAAGGAACGUUGAAGACGACGACGUUGAUAGGCCGGGUGUAAGCGCAGCGAUGCGUUGAGCUAACCGGUACUAAUGAACCGUGAGGUUUAACCUA